rnacentral:lncRNA from 1 species
AAAAAACGUCAUGUGCAAUUGAAUCUGCAGUCUAUUGUAACUUAUGUUAGCUACCUUUGAUUCUUACUCAUUAUUUUCUUUGCUGGGUCUGUGCUCUGUCCUUUUGCAAUGAAAGAAUACUUUGGAUGCACUUGCUAAAGGAGAAUUUGCUGUGAGAAUUUGCUUCCAAGUGUUUGAACAGUUUUUAUCCAUUCUGGGUUUGUCAGCGAUCCAGUCUGCAUAAUGAAGGCAGAAAAUCCAGCAGAGUAGUAGUGCUAGGAGCUGACAGGCUCCUAGGCUUGUGGAUUUAAUGAGAAUUGCAAAAUACUGAAACAUCCUGUUCCAGAAAAGAGGCUAACAUAGGUGCGGUUUGGUAAAGCUGUGAAGUUUGGGGUGAGUAGUAGACUUGUCAAAGAAAUCAAUGCCUGGGAAAGGUCUCAACCAACAAAGCUGUCUCUUGUUACUUGUAGGAAGCAUGCCAUCAGCCCCUUGGAUUUGGUCUUCUGUCAUCCACAACAUUUCUACCAAUGUGUGAAAGUUCUGAAUACUUUCCAGUACUUCCUGUGCGAUGUAUAUGCUGCUACCCAUGUAAGUGUGGCAGUUGGAGCAUGCUUGUAACAUGCAGUGAAGCUGGGUGACUUCCAUUGAAAAUAAUGGGGGCCCAUUCUUCAGAAGAGGACUAGUUGAAUGGAAGCUUGCUAUGACAGACUUAAAUAGUCCUUUUCCUUUAAUGAAACUUCAACUUUAUAUCAUAAUUCAACUUUACAUCAUAAUUUUCCCUUGCUAUUUUUUUUCCUGUAUUCAUAGGUAAGGUUAAAGCAUUUCCUCUACAGCCAGGCAAGACGUGAUAGAUCUCUGCGUCCUUGCUCCAGCCCACCAUCAACCUUCUCUACAAUUACCUCAGUGGAACAAUUCCUUUCCAUUUCUGUGGGACAUCAGAGCCUACCCAGCAAGAUGACCAGUGGCCAUGCUGCAAGUGUUUCUAGGUUCGUAAUUGUUUUGGAUGAAAGUAAAACUGGCUGCAGGAAAAAGCAACUGGGGCGUUUGCCUGAGGUAGUGGUAAGCGAUCAGUUUUCUUGCUUAACGUUUUCUAGGUAGAUUGGAGCUCGCUCUAAUUGGAGCCAGGUAGUUCUGUGACAGAACCAAAGCUGAUACCUCUACCCUCCAAGCCCACCUUCGUCAUUUGGAUUCAGUGUCACGCUGAUCAUAACUGUCUGGUUCCUUCCAGCUUGUCCUCAAAGGGCACAGAGACACGUAACACUGCAAGGUUCCCCCCAUCAGGAGGGAGGAAUUCCACCACCAUCUUUCAGGGACUCUCAGCUGCCUGAAAAUAUUCAAAAACACUUUAAUUGCAGCACGAGUUAAUGUACAUCCAGCCCUCUGAGAAUGCUACUUUAACAGCAUUCCCAUCCUCACAAGAGCUUGAAAAGCUAAAGUUUUUUUGGGCAGCUGCCAAAUGCAGGUAAUGAAUGGUUGUUUAGUGCUUUGGAAAUGUACAAAGUAAAGCAAAUGCUAAACACCAGUUACAUUCUGCUAUGCAAGUCACAAAACUGCCUAGAGAACUGCCAGUGAUAAAUGUCCACAAUUAUAGUAUAUAAAUACCAACAGGAAUUAUUUAGGGUGGAACAAGGCAGGGCCACCUAGGAGUAAUUAGAUAGACUUAAGGAGAGGAGAAAACUUCCUUGAGAGAGAACUUCUGAAUCAGGCAUAUUUGAUUAGAGAAAUACCAUCUAUAUAGGAAGAAAUAACUCCUGGAUAAGCCUGUGGUAGGUUAAAUUUACUAACUCUAGAAAAGAAAGUAUACAGAACCAUUCUUAGAGCCAUGGCAUCCAAGGGCCAGAUUGUAAAGUGCUUCUCUUUGCUUGCAAAAUUGGAAAUGCAGGACAUUGUUCAUAUUUUUGCUCUCUGCAGGGCUUGGUGUAAGUCACUUGAG